UACGAAGGGGGCUAGCGUUGUUCGGAAUUACUGGGCGUAAAGCGCACGUAGGCGGCUUUGUAAGUUAGAGGUGAAAGCCCGGGGCUCAACUCCGGAACUGCCUUUAAGACUGCAUCGCUUGAAUCCAGGAGAGGUGAGUGGAAUUCCGAGUGUAGAGGUGAAAUUCGUAGAUAUUCGGAAGAACACCAGUGGCGAAGGCGGCUCACUGGACUGGUA
rnacentral:rRNA from 1 species